GCGCACGCUGGCGGCAGGCCUCACACCUGCAAGUCGAACGAACCUUUCGGGGUUAGUGGCGGACGGGUGAGUAACACGUGGGAACGUGCCUUUAGGUUCGGAAUAACUCAGGGAAACUUGUGCUAAUACCGAAUGUGCCCUUCGGGGGAAAGAUUUAUCGCCUUUAGAGCGGCCCGCGUCUGAUUAGCUAGUUGGUUGAGGUAAUGGCUCACCAAGGCGACGAUCAGUAGCUGGUCUGAGAGGAUGAUCAGCCACAUUGGGACUGAGACACGGCCCAAACUCCUACGGGAGGCAGCAGUGGGGAAUCUUGCGCAAUGGGCGAAAGCCUGACGCAGCCAUGCCGCGUGAAUGAUGAAGGUCGUAGGAUUGUAAAAUUCUUUCACCGGGGACGAUAAUGACGGUACCCGGAGAAGAAGCCCCGGCUAACUUCGUG
rnacentral:rRNA from 1 species